GUGCUCGCUUCAGUAGCGCAUAUACUAAAAUUGGAACGAUUCAGAGAUUAGCAUGGCCCGUGUGCAAAGAUGACACCCAAAUUCGUGAAGCGUUCCAUGUAUUU